rnacentral:rRNA from 1 species
GACGAACCGUCCUAACGUUGUUCGGAAUCACUGGGCUUAAAGGGCGCGUAGGCGGGCGAGCAAGUCCGGGGUGAAAUCUUUCGGCUUAACCGGAAAAGUGCCUUGGAUACUGCUCGUCUCGAGGGAGGUAGGGGCAUGUGGAACUUCCGGUGGAGCGGUGAAAUGCGUUGAUAUCGGAAGGAACGCCGGUGGCGAAGGCGGCAUCCUGGACCAACACUGACGCUGAGGAGCGAAAGCCAGGGGAGCAAACGGG